rnacentral:hammerhead_ribozyme from 1 species
GCACUGCUGAGGAGUCCCAUAAUAGGACGAAGCGGCCAUCCAGUGC